UACGUAGGGUGCGAGCGUUAAUCGGAAUUACUGGGCGUAAAGCGUGCGCAGGCGGUUUUGUAAGCCAGAUGUGAAAUCCCCGGGCUUAACCUGGGAAUGGCAUUUGGGACUGCAAGGCUCGAGUGCGGCAGAGGAGACUGGAAUUCCUGUUGUAGCAGUGAAAUGCGUAGAUAUCAGGAGGAACACCGAUGGCGAAGGCAGGUCUCUGGGCUGACACUGACGCUCAUGCACGAAAGCGUGGGGAGCAAACAGG
rnacentral:rRNA from 1 species